rnacentral:tRNA from 2 species
GGGCACAUGGUGUAGUUGGUUUAUCACGCCCGCUUAGCACGACUAAGUGAUUGCGGGAGGUGUUGGGUUCAAUUCCCAAUGUGUCCA